CACUAAGAAGCUACCACAGCACUAGCCUUUUAAGCUAGAGAGGAAAAACAACUUUUCCUUAGUGA
rnacentral:tRNA from 1 species